CCUACGGGAGGCAGCAGUGGGGAAUAUUGGACAAUGGGGGCAACCCUGAUCCAGCCAUGCCGCGUGUGUGAAGAAGGCUUUCGGGUUGUAAAGCACUUUCAGUGAGGAGGAAAAGUCAGUCGUUAAUAGCGGCUGGCCUUGACGUUACUCACAGAAGAAGCACCGGCUAACUCCGUGCCAGCAGCCGCGGUAAU
rnacentral:rRNA from 1 species